GGGCCCGCACAAGCAGUGGAGUAUGUGGUUUAAUUCGAAGCAACGCGAAGAACCUUACCAGGUCUUGACAUCCCAAGAAUCCUGUAGAGAUACGGGAGUGCCUUCGGGAGCUUGGAGACAGGUGGUGCAUGGUUGUCGUCAGCUCGUGUCGUGAGAUGUUGGGUUAAGUCCCGCAACGAGCGCAACCCUUACGGUUAGUUGCUACGCAAGAGCACUCUAGCCGGACUGCCGUUGACAAAACGGAGGAAGGUGGGGACGACGUCAAAUCAUCAUGCCCCUUAUGACCUGGGCUACACACGUACUACAAUGGCGAUUAACAAAGGGAAGCAAGGCAGUGAUGCGGAGCAAAUCCCCAAAAAUCGUCUCAGUUCAGAUUGCAGGCUGCAACUCGCCUGCAUGAAGUCGGAAUUGCUAGUAAUCGCAGAUCAGCAUGCUGCGGUGAAUACGUUCCCGGGCCUU
rnacentral:rRNA from 1 species